UCUAGAACUGGAGAUAUGGGCUGAACACUGAACAAUAUCUGGGCUACAGGACAAAUUCCGACUUCUCUUUUGUUGCUACAAUUUGAACUUGAAAACGGCUAUUUUGAAUCUUGGACUCUCAUGAAAUUUUUAGGCCUAUGUCUUAGCUUUCCAUA
rfam:Populus trichocarpa scaffold_13_contig_244, whole genome shotgun sequence.